GCCAGGUGUGGUGGCAUGCGCCUGUAAUCCCAGCUACUUGGGAGGCUGAGGCAGGAGAAUUGCUUGAACCCGGGAGGCAGAGGGUGCAGUGAACCAAGAUUGCACCACUGCACUCCCGCCUGGGUGACAGAGCGAGACUCUGUCUCAA
ensembl:misc_RNA Metazoa_SRP Metazoan signal recognition particle RNA